rnacentral:rRNA from 1 species
UAAGGACGAACGCUGGCGGCGUGCUUCAUACAUGCAAGUCGAACGAGAAAUCUACUUCGGUAGAUGGAAAGUGGCGGACGGGUGAGUAAUAUGUAGAGAAUCUGCCCUAGAGAGGGGGACAACCGUUGGAAACGACAGCUAAUACCCCAUAUGAGCGUACCUGAAAUGGUAUUCUUGAAAACUCCGGUGCUCUGGGAUGAGUCUGCAUCUGAUUAGCUAGUUGGGGGUGUAAUGGACCACCAAGGCGACGAUCAGUAGCUGGUUUGAGAGGAUGAUCAGCCACAAUGGGACUGAGACACGGCCCAUACUCCUACGGGAGGCAGCAGUAGGGAAUUUUGCGCAAUGGGCGAAAGCCUGACGCAGCCAACGCCGCGUGAUCGAGACGCUUUUCGGAGUGUAAAGAUCUGUCACAGGGGACGAACGAUGACGGUACCCUGAGAGGAAGCACCGGCUAACUCCGUGCCAGCAGCCGC